UGCCAGCAGCCGCGGUAAUACGGAGGGUCCAAGCGUUAUCCGGAUUUAUUGGGUUUAAAGGGUCCGUAGGCGGGAUAUUAAGUCAGUGGUGAAAGCCUGCAGCUUAACUGUAGAAUUGCCAUUGAUACUGAUAUUCUUGAAUCUAGUUGAAGUAGGCGGAAUAUAUCAUGUAGCGGUGAAAUGCAUAGAGAUGAUAUAGAACACCAAUUGCGAAGGCAGCUUACUAAGCUAGUAUUGACGCUCAGGGACGAAAGCGUGGGGAGCGAACAGGAUUAGAUA
rnacentral:rRNA from 1 species